GGAGGAUGCAAGCGUUAUCCGGAUUCAUUGGGUUUAAAGGGUGCGCAGGUUGGAUAGUAAGUCAGUGGUGAAAUACUGCCGCUUAACGGUAGAACUGCCAUUGAUACUGCUGUUCUUGAGUAUGGUUGAGGUAGGUGGAAUGUGUUGUGUAGCGGUGAAAUGCAUAGAUAUGACACAGAACGCCGAUUGCGAAGGCAGCUUACUAAGCCAUUACUGACGCUGAGGCACGAAAGCGUGGGGAUCGAACAGGAUUAGAUACCCUGGUAGUCCACGCCGUAAACGAUGAUCACUCGCUGUUUGCGAUACACAGCAAGCGGCUGAGCGAAAGCAUUAAGUGAUCCACCUGGGGAGUACGAUCGCAAGGUUGAA
rnacentral:rRNA from 1 species